AGAGUUUGAUCCUGGCUCAGGAUGAACGCUAGCGGGAGGCUUAACACAUGCAAGUCGAGCGGGAUUAGCAGCAAUGCUAUGAGAGCGGCGCACGGGUGCGUAACGCGUAUGCAACCUNNNNNNNNNNNNNNNNNNNNNNNNNNNNNNNNNNNNNNNNNNNNNNNNNNNNNNNNNNNNNUGGUUAAAGAUGAGCAUGCGUGACAUUAGCUAGUUGGUAGGGUAAUGGCCUACCAAGGCUACGAUGGUUAGCUGGUCUGAGAGGAUGAUCCGCCACACUGGAACUGAGACACGGACCAGACUCCUACGGGAGGCAGCAGUGAGGAAUAUUGGUCAAUGGCCGGAAGGCUGAACCAGCCAUCCCGCGUGCAGGAUGACGGCCCUAUGGGUUGUAAACUUCUUUUGUAUGGGAAGAAACCUUCUGACGUGUCAGAAGCUGACGGUACUGUACGAAUAAGCAUCGGCUAACUCCGUGCCAGCAGCCGCGGUAAUACGGAGGAUGCAAGCGUUAUCCGGAUUUAUUGGGUUUAAAGGGUGCGUAGGCGGGAUAGCAAGUCAGUGGUGAAAGCCUACAGCUUAACUGUAGAACUGCCAUUGAUACUGUUAUUCUUGAGUAUAGUUGAAGUGGGUGGAAUGUGUGGUGUAGCGGUGAAAUGCUUAGAUAUCACACAGAACGCCAAUUGCGAAGGCAGCUCACUAAGCUAUCACUGACGCUGAGGCACGAAAGCGUGGGGAUCAAACAGGAUUAGAUACCCUGGUAGUCCACGCCGUAAACUAUGAUGACUCGCUGUUGGCGAUAUACUGUCAGCGGCUGAGCGAAAGCAUUAAGUCAUCCACCUGGGGAGUACGAUCGCAAGGUUGAAACUCAAAGGAAUUGACGGGGGCCCGCACAAGCGGAGGAACAUGUGGUUUAAUUCGAUGAUACGCGAGGAACCUUACCUGGGUUUGAACGUAGAGUGACCGGUGCCGAAGUGCCUUUCCUUCGGGACAGUCUACGAGGUGCUGCAUGGUUGUCGUCAGCUCGUGCCGUGAGGUGUCGGGUUAAGUCCCAUAACGAGCGCAACCCCUAUCGUUAGUUGCCAUCAGGUAAAGUUGGGGACUCUAACGAGACUGCCGGUGUAAACCGUGAGGAAGGUGGGGAUGACGUCAAAUCAGCACGGCCCUUAUAUCCAGGGCUACACACGUGUUACAAUGGCCUGAACAGAGGGCAGCAACCUGGCGACAGGGAGCUAAUCCAUCAAGCCGGUCUCAGUUCGGAUCGAAGUCUGCAACCCGACUCCAUGAAGCUGGAUUCGCUAGUAAUCGCAUAUCAGCCAUGAUGCGGUGAAUACGUUCCCGGGCCUUGUACACACCGCCCGUCAAGCCAUGGAAGCUGGGGGUACCUAAAGUUCGUAACCGCAAGGAGCGGCCUAGGGUAAAACCGGUGACUGGGGCUAAGUCGUAACAAGGUAACC
rnacentral:rRNA from 1 species